GGAGAGAUGUCCGAGUGGCUGAAGGAGCACGCUUGGAAAGCGUGUAUAGGGUUUCCCUAUCGGGGGUUCGAAUCCCCCUCUCUCCG
rnacentral:tRNA from 1 species